GCCCACUUAGCUCAGAGGUUAGAGCAUCACAUUUGUAAUGCGAGAGUCAUCGGUUCAAAUCCGAUAGUCGGCU
rfam:Triticum aestivum genome assembly, contig: Triticum_aestivum_CS42_TGACv1_scaffold_057175_1BS